rnacentral:lncRNA from 1 species
AUCCUGGCACACAAUUUCCUGUGUAAUCUGGUCCCUGCUAUCCCUCCAAGCCCAUUUAUUCCCAAGGUCCCACCUACCCUCUGACAUCUCCCUACACUUGUUUUUCAGUUCCUGUUGCUCAAAACUGGACUUGGAGGCAGCAGACCAUGUGAUUGAAGAAUACAUUCUCCAAAAUAGAAACCAAGCCUGAUCUACCACUUAUAACCGCCUUGAGUACACAAGAGAGAUCACUACGCCCACAGAAACCAAGUCACAGCCUGGCUGAUUUUCAGACAUGCUGGUGUCCCUCCGAACCAGCUCUCUUGUCAUCAAUCUCUACCUGCACAAACACUGCAGUGCAUGAAAAUGGAACACCAACGGGAUGAUGACAGAGCCAGCCUCAGCUACUCUUGUUCCUUGGAAGUCCUCAUAGAAGAAUUGUCAACCAGUUGUCAACCAUUUCAGCUCAUUGGAAGAGCCAAGGCAGUUAGGACUCUAUUAUACCUCAAUGUGGACACAGCUGUGACAGAAUGCAGGGGCUGA